AUGGUGGCGGCGGCGGCUGCGGGGAAGCGGAAGCGAGAUCUCUCCGAGGACGAGGUGUACCUCAUCCUCCACAAGUACUCGCCCGCGACAAUCCUGACGGCGCUUCAGGAGGUGGCGCAGCACGCGGAGAGAAGGAGCAUCGACUGGAGGGCGCUGGUGGCCAAGACAGCCACGGGGAUCACCUCCGCCCGCGAGUACCAGAUGCUUUGGCGCUACAUCGCCUACCGACAUGACUUCAUCGAGAACGCCGAGGACAUCGGCGCCCAGCCUCUGGGUGAUGAGAGCGACUUGGAAUGUGAGAUUGAACCCUUUCCUAAGCCGAGCAACGAAGCUGCAGCUGAGGCCUCCCGGUUCGCGAAGAUCUUAAUCUAUGGACCUUCACGUGAGCAAGGUUCUAGUCAUUGUGUUAACUCAGAAGUUCCUCUGCUAAACACUCCAAAUGAGAAGAUACCGCGUGUUCCAUCUGACAAACAGCUUGCUCAGAGCCAUCGUCUAACAAAUGGUACAGGUCCAGUUUCCAACUCAAAACAGGCAUCCCAUACAGGGUUAUCUCCUGAUCCUUUUGAUGGGAAUGGACCUCAUAAAAAGACAAAGAAGCCUAAAGCAUGGUCCAACAAGGAGGAUGCAGACUUAAUGGAUGGUGUACAUAAGUGUGGUGAAGGAAAUUGGCUGAACAUUCUGCGUAAAUAUAACUUCGAUAGCACAAGAACUUAUGUUCAAUUGUCUCAGAGAUGGGCAGUCAUUUGCAGGCGUCAAGGAACAACCAAGCUUGCUAAAGUUAAAUCAGUCACCACGGAGUUCGAUAUAAAAGCUACUCAAAAGGCAUUCUCUAUGGCUCUUGAUAUGCCUAUGGGGAAGCCUGGUGGAUUCUCUACAUUAAGAUUAGGAGCUUCACAACAAAGCGCUCAACAUCCUGCUCCAGUAUUCGUUGCUGCGGCACCCGAGUUAAAAUGUGCAACAUCCUCUUCAUCACUCCCGUUGCCAGUACCAGUGUCAGCACAAGGGCAGAUUCCACUUCCUCGGGUGCAACCAGCUCCUGCUCAAGCUGCAGCCUCAAAAGUGUCAAAUACUUCAAACAAGUCACAAAAUAGCUCUAAGAAGCAAAAUGCACAAGCAAAUCCUACAAAUGCUCCUUCCUCGAUACAAGCUGCAGCUAUUGCUGCUGGUGGACGAAUCGCCCCAGCAAGCAUCGCCACCAAUUUAUUGAAAGCUGCACAAUCCUCGCAAGCUGUGCACAUAACCCCGAAAGCUAAGCACAUAAGACCUCGAGGAAAAGGAUCUUCAAAAACUUCUACAAGCUCUAAAGCAUCCACUAUGGCUGGUGAGCCUGGAACACAGCCUGGUAGUGCUGAACACCCAGAACUUCCAAACUGUAGUGCCCCUACACCAUCUCCUCCGGUUUUGAUAACACAGUCAAUUGAGCAAGUUAAUGUUGUGUCAGAAGUUGCAGGAGUUAACCCCCCUGAACAAUCUGCUAGUGCACAUUUGUUGGAACCUGAUAGAGCAUUGAGCACCACACCAGUGUCUGGCCCAUGCGACAAUAUGGAGAUGGACGACGACUCUACAUUUUGUGCAGUCACGAUGGAGGACUUGUUUCCUGAAGACGUGAAGCAGCCGGAGAUGGUGAAGCAGCCAGAGAUAGUGAAGCAGCAUGAGAUGAUAGACCCCAAAGGUGAGGAGAGCAUAGAUCCCAAGGAUGCCGACAUGCUGGAGUUCGAUCGCUUUGUUGCCCAAGGAUGCUUGACUACAGAUUGUUUGGAUAAGAGCAAAGGUGUCAAAAUUGCUCCUGGAGCUCAAGGUGCUAUUCCCAGCCAGAAGAAACAACCGAAACAGCAACCCACAGUUGUGAAAAGCAUCCCUGCGUCUGCUAGAGCACCAGCAACCGUGAAGAAGACCAAAACUCUAGCUUCACAUGGGGCGACCUUUCCAUCAACAGUCACCUCUAGUGGCCUUGUUGGCACAGGCAAUGCUGGUGUGCUGAGUAAAGCAAUAUAUCGGAAGUCACCUGGCCCAGGCACCACAGGCAAACAAAAUAGGUGCCAAGAAAUUAUGGCCCAGAAGCAGCAUGCUAUGAGCUCAAAUAGUAGUGCAAUGGCCAGGAAUGCAGCUCCUGGCGUCGGAACACCAGCCAGGAAUGCGGCUCCGGGGGUUGGAACACCAGCCAGGAAUGCGGCUCCGGGCGUUGGAAUACCAGCCAAGAAUAUGUCUCCCGGUGCCGGAACACCAGUUAGGAAUGCGGUUCCAGCCACCGGAACACUAGCUAAAAAUAUGGCUCCUGCCACCGGAGCACCAGCCAGGAAUGCGGCUCCUGGCACUGGAAUAACACCAGCCAGGAACUUGCUUACUGGCACUGGAACACCACCAGCCAGGAACUCGCUUACCGGCACUGCAACACCACCAGUCAGGACUGCGGCUCCUGGCACUGCAACACCACCAGUCAGGAACCCGGCUCCCAGUGCUGGAACUCCACCAGGCAGGAACUCGCUUACCGGCACCGGAACACCAGCCAGUCGCCAAUAUACCCCAGUGGUGAAUGGGGCUAGCAAGGGGAAUCCACCUGCCAGCCAAUAG
rnacentral:rRNA from 1 species